GAUCGGCAGCCCCCUGGAAUUGCUGAGGAGAAACGGGCAGACACCUAAUCCCUGGCCUUCUCUGGAAGGAGCCCUUUCAACGCUGCCCUUCCUCUCAGGUUUUCCCGCCUCCCCGAGUGAGGCGGGCAGAGCGGCUGUCCCGGAAGAGCCCAGAGUGGGGCGGACUCACGGCUUCGGCACGGGAGUGUUUCCUCCUCUGUGUAGGUGACAGAGAUAGAGCGAUACCAUUCUUCAACUGCAAGGAAAAAUGACUUCAUCCCCAAACGUGAGAGGACUCUCAAUUGGCGGCGGUGGGGCAGGCUGCAGCCGCAAGUUUUACGAACUUGCACCGUGGAUGCGGGAGUCGAUCCCAGGAUUCUGGAGAAGGCCAGUCUUCUGACCCAUCGCAUACUGCUUAGCCGAGAGGAAUUCUGCCACUAAAUUAUUUGCAAAUGUGCCUCACUCUUUUACGGAUUUGGAGCCAAUUUGUAAUAAGCAAGAGCAGUUUGACCCAGAUUAAAAGAUACAAUUAGUCUGUCUGAACGGUAAACCUAAAAAGUACUACUUACAACAAGUUAUUGUUUUAUGACAAAAGAAGACAUCCUGGCAGAACAAUAAAGCCAGUGCCACUGAUAA